UGCUACUCAGAUUAACAUUUCAUUAAAAUUCAAAUUCAAAAUAUUGUUUUCACCACUUGAAGAUAGAUGUCAUAUCUUCGCGCCGCCGUGUAAUAUCCUCUAUAUAUAUAUACAAGUGAAGAAGUAUGAAAAAUACAAUCUAGUGAGAUUUCCAAAAUCCUGAUAUUUACUCAUUGAAUUUGUCAGUGUUUGAUGGCAAAGCCAAAGACAUUGUAUCAUAUACUAUCCAAUUUAUUACCAUGUGAGCACCAUAUCAAAGGCUUGGUGAAACCCACCUAUAUCCAGCAGUGUAGGCUAACUUGUUUUUAUGACAAGGCCAACCAGUCAGAUUAGAAAAAUGUACAAUUUCUGACUAUAUACUGCCUGUCACUUGUCCCAGUCUCCCAAAUAAGUAAUAAAUUAUUGUCAUUCCUCCGAAGAUAAAAGCGACAUAAAAAGUGGACAUAAACCUCAGUUUAAACUCUUCCCACCCAAAUAGAACUACAGAUGUCAGCGGAAACCAAAGAUUGGUUAUCACCGCUUCAAUACUGUCACCAAUUACGCGAAGUCUUUUUUAAUACAGAAAAUGGUAAACUGUUAUUGU